rnacentral:lncRNA from 1 species
CCUGAAGAUUUCUACAAGGAGUUUAUUCGAUUACCAUACUUAGCAAUUACUGCAGUAACACUAGGAGCUUACUUUGCACACCCUCUUAUGCAGGCUGCUAGCUUCAACCUCCAUUGGUAGGUGGAAAGAAAAUAUCAUGUCAUUUUCAUGUAAAUCUAAUGUUUAGGACCGAAACAUAAAUGCCACGUAUUGUUGUGUGCAUCAAUAGACAAGUAUGAAAGAUCAAAGAAAAGAAAAUAGAAAUAAUUGGAAGAACCAAAAUACUGACAAUGACCAUGCACUUAUAAAACCUUGUUUGUUAAAUUUGUGAAACAGGGUCUGUCUAGCAUAAACAAUGUACUUAUAUGGUGCACAAUGACAUUUCAUUGCUAACUUGUAACUAAAAUUUGUAGCUGAUAUUUGAACUUGUAACUAAAUCUAUAGUUGAUUUGAUCAGUUACCUAUUGUUAUGAAUUAGUUUCACUCCCAUAGAUCGUAUGAAGUUGUGGCACCAUGUUAGAAUCACCCAUAAAAACAAUGGAUAAGUUGCAUUAAAAU